rnacentral:rRNA from 1 species
UACGUAGGCAGCAAGCGUUUUUCGGAAUUACUGGGCGUAAAGGGUGCGUAGGCGGUUUUGUAAGUUUGGUGUGAAAUCUCCCGGCUUAACUGGGAGGGUGCGCCGAAAACUGCAAGGCUAGAGUGCAGGAGAGGAGAGUGGAAUUCCUGGUGUUGCGGUGAAAUGCGUAGAUAUCAGGAGGAACACCGGUGGUGUAGACGGCUCUCUGGACUGUUACUGACGCUGAGGCACGAAAGCGUGGGGAGCAAACAGG